rnacentral:rRNA from 1 species
UUCCGUAGGUGAACCUGCGGAAGGAUCAUUAGUGAAUCUUCAAAAGUCGGCUCUGUGGAUUGUGCUGGUGGAGACACAUGUGCACGUCCGCAAGGUCGCAAACCCCACACACCUGUGCAUCUAUGACUCUGAGUGCCGCUUUGCAUGGCCUUGACCGGCCUGGCGCUCGAGUACUUCUACACACUCUUGAAUGUAACGGAAUGUCUUGUUGUGCAUAAUGUACAAACAGAAACAACUUUCAACAACGGAUCUCUUGGCUCUCGCAUCGAUGAAGAACGCAGCGAAAUGCGAUAAGUAAUGUGAAUUGCAGAAUUCAGUGAAUCAUCGAAUCUUUGAACGCACCUUGCACCCUUUGGUAUUCCGAAGGGUACGCCCGUUUGAGUGUCAUUGUAAUCUCACCACCAUUGACUUUGGUCUUUUGGUAUGUGGACUUGGAUGUUGCCGUCGAUGUCUACGGCUCGUCUGAAAUGCUUCAGUGUACCCCGCUUUGCGGCGUAUUCGGUGUGAUACAUCUUCACCGGAGUUGAUCCUUUUGGGGGUCGCGUCUGUAAUGUGUGGCUCUAUGCUUCCAACCGUCUCUCGAGACAAUCUCUGACAAUUUGACCUCAAAUCGGGUGGGACUACCCGCUGAACUUAAGCAUAUCAAUAAGCGGAGGAAAAGAAACUAACAAGGAUUCCCCUAGUAACGGCGAGUGAAGAGGGAAAAGCUCAAAUUUUGAAUCUGGUGUCUUUGACUCCCGAGUUGUAAUCUAGAGAAGUGUUUUCCGUGUCGGACCGUGCACAAGUUCCCUGGAACGGGGCGUCAUAGAGGGUGAGAAUCCCGUAUAUGGCACGGACUGCCGAUGCUUUUGUGAUACACUCUCAACGAGUCGAGUUGUUUGGGAAUGCAGCUCAAAAUGGGUGGUAAAUUCCAUCUAAAGCUAAAUAUUGGCGAGAGACCGAUAGCGAACAAGUAACGUGAGGGAAAGAUGAAAAGCACUUUGGAAAGAGAGUGAAACAGUACGUGAAAUUGUUGAAAGGGAAGCGUUUGAAGUCAGUCGUAUCUGGCGGGAUUCAGCUGGGCUUUUGCCCGGUGUACUUCUCGUCCGAUGGGUCAGCAUCAAUUUUGACCGGGGGAAAAAGAUGUGGGGAAUGUGGCUGUCUUUGGGCAGUGUUAUAGCCCCAUGUUGUAUGCCUCGGUUGGGAUUGAGGAACGCAGCGCGCCUAUAGGCCAGGGGCUACCCGCCUCUUGACACGCGCUUAGGAUGCUGGCAUAAUGGCUUUAAGCGACCCGUCUUG